UGCAAGUCGAGCGAGAAAGCGGCUUCGGUCGUGAGUAAAGCGGCGAACGGGUGAGUAACACGUGGACAACCUGCCUGGAAAUGGGGGAUAACUUGAGGAAACUCGAGCUAAUACCGCAUACGUCCGCGCCGCGCGAGCGGUGCGUGCAAAGAUGGCCUCUUCAUGAAAGCUGUCGUUUCCAGAUGGGUCCGCGGCUGAUUAGCCAGUUGGUGGGGUAACGGCCUACCAAAGCGACGAUCAGUAGCCGGCCUGAGAGGGCGAUCGGCCACACUGGAACUGAGACACGGUCCAGACUCCUACGGGAGGCAGCAGUGGGGAAUAUUGGACAAUGGGCGAAAGCCUGAUCCAGCAACGCCGCGUGGAGGAUGAAGGCCCUAGGGUUGUAAACUCCUGUCAGGUGGGACGAAAAGGCGUCGGUCAAUACCCGGCGCCCCUGACGGUACCACCGGAGGAAGCCCCGGCUAACUACGUGCCAGCAGCCGCGGUAACACGUAGGGGGCGAGCGUUAUUCGGAAUUAUUGGGCGUAAAGGGCGCGUAGGCGGCUUGACAAGUCAGUGGUGAAAUCCCUCGGCUCAACCGAGGAACUGCCUCUGAAACUGUUCGGCUUGAGGCCGGGAGAGGGUGGUGGAAUUCCCAGUGUAGCGGUGAAAUGCGUAGAUAUUGGGAGGAACACCAGUGGCGAAGGCGGCCACCUGGACCGGUUCUGACGCUGAGGCGCGAAAGUGUGGGGAGCAAACAGGAUUAGAUACCCUGGUAGUCCACACUGUAAACGAUGA
rnacentral:rRNA from 1 species